UCAGGGCUAAAAGAAUUGUUCUUCUUAGCUGUAAAACAAUUACUCAGCGCAAAAAAAAAUAUUAGAAGUGAAAAGUUACAGCGCUAAAAGUGAAAAAUUUUCCCUCCAAAUCUAUCAAAACCCCAAUUGUACGAUUCUUGAAAAGUUGAAACAAAUUUUGUCUUGUGUAUCUUCUCCCAAACCCUAACCCUUUAUUCCUUCUCUUUCUUCUCAAACCCUUCAACUUGCAUACAGAGGGACGAUUUAGGGUUUUAUGGAAAGGUUUGAAGUAAGUCUCUCGCCGAUGGAAAAGCUAUACAUUCAGGUACAGGCUCAUUUUUGCAUAUCUAUUUUCUUUUGGAUCCUUCAUUCUUCGUCUUUGUGUAAGCAUCCAUGGAUUGGUGAUUGAGCAAUUUGAUGAAAUUAACUGAAACACUUAACUCGUGAUGGUAAAAUUAUUGUCUUUAUUCUCCAGUAAACUGAAUUUUGAGUUAUUAUUAUUUAGACUUGAUUUGUUAAUUUGUUUGGAUCUUGUUUGUUCUAUGAUUAUGCAGCAUGAUGAAAAGGACAUGGAUGAACUUGUUAGAAGCUUCUAAAAUGAGUUUAAGUCAUCCUUCACAGGUAGUGUGAGAAACCACUAGAAUAUGGAACUGUGAAUGAUGUAUUGAGAUCUUUCCAGCAAUCUGAAAAAUUUGAAAUGCUUAUUUGCUUUUAAAUCUUGGGAGUUGGGGGGUUAGAGAAAGGGAUAGAGCUGAAGUUUUUAUACUAAUGCUUAUUUGUUUUUUGCUUGUAAAGUCCUAUUACAAUAGGGAUUUGGUAUCAUUUAUCCUAUGAUGUCAUUUUCUCUCUUUUUCUGCAUGUGAAGUUGAAGAUGAUAGAAUGAUUAUCGACAAAACAUUAGCUGAUCAAGUGUCAUCAUGGAAAAGCAGUAGGAGCCUCAGCCUCAGUGAUACAGUGGUGAUUGAUCAUGCUUGUUCUAGGAAGGCAUGCUCAUACUACCAAAUUGGAGAUGUAAUUAUUUGUGAGAAGAUUAGACAAGCUCAUGCACAAGCUUAUUUUCUGCGAUACAAUUGGGCUGAUGAAUAAGAUCUUGAAGAUUCCAAGUGACUAAAAUGGUACAGACUCUUGUGUUUCCAAAAGCCCAAAUCGAUGGGAACUUGUUUUUCUUGAAUGCGAACAUGAAGCUUACUUCUUUCGUUGAAGUCCAUGUACGGUCAGACAGAAUGUGAACUUGCAGGGUAUCUCAGCUGUAUAUAAUUCUGAUAUGGAAUGAUGUGAAACUGCUGGUAAAUGCGAGUUCAGUUUUGAUGUAAAUAACACAGGCGACUCCUAUAGGCACAGUAAAGCUUCAAAGCAUAGAGUAUAUUUAUAGUAGUGAUCUAUUCAACGCUUGUGGAAAAAUGUGGUUAAUAAUUGAUACAUUUUACUUAAAUUUUUUAUUUCUAUUACCACUCGAAAUGUAAUCUCUUCGGUCUGCUUCAUGUUGGUAUGAGAAAUAUUAGAGUUAUCUCCUUCUGCUAGUGGAACAUGUGUAUUCUAUGAGGAGUCUAUGCUGAAUUACAAGUUUUCACAUUCAGGACCAAUGACAAUGUCAUUGUUA